CCUUCGAUAGCUCAGUUGGUAGAGCGGUGGACUGUAGACGGUUAAAAACUGAAAUCCAUAGGUCGCUGGUUCAAAUCCGGCUCGAAGGA
rnacentral:tRNA from 1 species